AUUGAACGCUGGCGGCAUGCCUUACACAUGCAAGUCGAACGGUAACAGGUUAAGCUGACGAGUGGCGAACGGGUGAGUAAUGUAUCGGAACGUGCCCAGUCGUGGGGGAUAACUGCUCGAAAGAGCAGCUAAUACCGCAUACGACCUGAGGGUGAAAGAGGGGGAUCGCAAGACCUCGCGCGAUUGGAGCGGCCGAUAUCAGAUUAGGUAGUUGGUGAGGUAAAGGCUCACCAAGCCGACGAUCUGUAGCUGGUCUGAGAGGACGACCAGCCACACUGGGACUGAGACACGGCCCAGACUCCUACGGGAGGCAGCAGUGGGGAAUUUUGGACAAUGGGCGCAAGCCUGAUCCAGCCACGCCGCGUGCGGGAAGAAGGCCUUCGGGUUGUAAACCGCUUUUGUCAGGGAAGAGAAGGUUCUGGCUAAUACCUGGGACUCAUGACGGUACCUGAAGAAUAAGCACCGGCUAACUACGUGCCAGCCGCCGCCGUAA
rnacentral:rRNA from 1 species